GACGAACGCUGGCGGCGUGCUUAAUACAUGCAAGUCGAGCGAACAGACGAGGAGCUUGUUGGUCUGACGUUAGGGGCGGACGGGUGAGUAACAAGUGGAUAAUAUACUUAUACGACUGGGAUAACUUCGGGAAACCGGAGCUAAUACCGGAUAAUAUAUUGAAUCGGACGGUUCAAUAGUGAAGGACGGUUUUGGUUUCACUUAUAGAUGGAUUCGCGCCGUAUUAGCUAGUUGGUAAGGUAACGGCUUACCAAGGCAACGAUGCGUAGCCGACCUGAGAGGGUGAUCGGCCGCACUGGAGCUGAGACACGGUCCAGACGCCUACGAGAGGCAGCAGUAGGGAAUCUUACGCAAUGGGCGAAAGCCUGACGGAGCAACGCCGCGUGAGUGAUGAAGGUCUUCGGAUCGUAAAGCUCUGUUAUUAGGGAAGAACAAAUGUGUAAGUGACUGUGCACGUCUUGACGGUACCUAGUCAAGAAGCCACGGCUAACUACGUG
rnacentral:rRNA from 1 species